rnacentral:rRNA from 1 species
AGACUGGGAUAACUAUUGGAAACAAUAGCUAAUACCGGAUAUAGUUAUUUAUCGCAUGAUGAGUAAUAGAAAGGAGCUUCACAGCUUCACUUAAAAAUGGGGGUGCGGAACAUUAGUUAGUUGGUAGGGUAAUGGCCUACCAAGACGAUGAUGUUUAGCCGGGCCGAGAGGCUGUACGGCCACACUGGGACUGAGAUACGGCCCAGACUCCUACGGGAGGCAGCAGUAAGGAAUUUUCCACAAUGAGCGAAAGCUUGAUGGAGCGACACAGCGUGCAGGAUGAAGUUCUUCGGAAUGUAAACUGCUGUUAUAAGGGAAGAAAAAAUAGAAUAGGAAAUGAUUUUAUCUUGACGGUACCUUAUUAGAAAGCGACGGCAAACUAGG